rnacentral:rRNA from 1 species
UGGGGAAUAUUGCACAACGGGCGAAAGCCUGAUGCAGCAACGCCGCGUGAGUGAUGAAGGUCUUCGGAUUGUAAAGCUCUGUCUUUUGGGACGAUAAUGACGGUACCAAAGGAGGAAGCCACGGCUAACUACGUGCCAGCAGCCGCGGUAAUACGUAGGUGGCGAGCGUUGUCCGGAUUUACUGGGCGUAAAGGGUGCGUAGGCGGAUGUUUAAGUGAGAUGUGAAAUACCCGGGCUUAACUUGGGUGCUGCAUUUCAAACUGGAUAUCUAGAGUGCAGGAGAGGAGAAUGGAAUUCCUAGUGUAGCGGUGAAACGCGUAGAGAUUAGGAAGAACACCAGUGGCGAAGGCGAUUCUCUGGACUGUAACUGACGCUGAGGCACGAAAGCGUGGGUAGCAAACAGGAUUAGAUACCCUGGUAGUCUACGCCGUAAACGAUGAGUACUAGGUGUAGGAGGUAUCGACCCCUUCUGUGCCGCAGUAAACACAUUAAGUACUCCGCCUGGGAAGUACGAUCGCAAGAUUAAAAC